rnacentral:rRNA from 1 species
UACAGAGGAGCCAAGCGUUGUCCGGAUUGACUGGGCGUAAAGCGCACGCAGGCGGAUGCGCGCGUGGGGUGUGAAAUCUGGCCGCUUAACGGCCAGGCGCCAUCCCAUACGGCGCGUCUGGAGUGAUGCAGAGGUCGAUGGAAUUGCCGGUGUAGUGGUGAAAUGCGUAGAGAUCGGCAGGAGCACCCAGGGGGAAACCAGUCGACUGGGCAUCUACUGACGCUGAGGUGCGAGAGCGUGGGGAGCGAACCGG